CAACUCUGCUCUGCAGAGUAGCUAUUGACAUUAUAGUUGCGCAGGUACUUUGUUGACUCGGGCCAAUCGCACAUCCCCGUGACGCGACUUUGCAUUCGGAUGUCAUUCAUAUCAACUUUCAAUGCCAGUUUCUGCGCCUACCAUGUGACCACGGGUAACGGGGAAUCAGGGUUCCAUUCCGUACAGGGACCCUGAGAAAUUGCUACCACAUACAAGGAAGGCAGCAGGCGCGCAAAUGACCCACUCCCGACGCAGGAAGGUAGUGA